rnacentral:rRNA from 1 species
AUGCAUCCAGGAAGGAGGUAUGAUUCUGGUGCUUCAAAGCGAAGGAAGAAACAAAAAGUAAAAGAAGAUACUCGAAAACAAAAGGGCGCUCUCGAUAAUUUUUUUGUGAAAGAACCUCAACCCAAUUCUCAAAACCAAACUCUAGAUGCUAAUAUUUAUGAUGCACCCGGUGGUGAUCCAGAAGAGGCUGAGGCUCACAUUGGUGAAACUGAUGAAGGUGAUGAUUCUAAUCAUGUUGAUGAAGGUGCUAAUAUUGCUGCUGAAGGUGAUGAUUCUAAUCAUGUUGAUGAAGGUGCUAAUAUUGCUGCUGAAGGUGAUGAUGCUAAUAUUGCUGAUAACACAAAUAAUUCUGUUCAACCUGAUAUAUUUGAUCCCGGAACAUGGGAUGCACUUAAUCCUACAAUGAUUGAUAUUUUGGUGCAAAAAGGUCCUAAAAGAGACUUGUCUAUUGAGCAUGGUCCUACAGACAAAUUUGGUAGAAGGUUUUCUGCACUAGCGUACACUAGAGUUCUCUCGAAUGGAGAAAAGUGUGAUAGAGAGUGGCUUUUGGAGAAGAAUCAAACAAUUGAUAAAGUUGCUCAGCAAGAACUUGAAAAGGGAAGGGAGCAUUGGAGAAAAGUUUUGCUAAGGAUUCUUUUGAUUGUGAAAUUUCUUGCAGAACAUAAUAUAGCAUUUCGUGGCAGUAAUAGCAAGGUGUACCAAGAUAGUAAUGGAAAUUUCUUAGGAUUGGUUCAAAUGUUGGCAGAAUUUGACCCAGUUAUAAAAGAACAUGUUGACCGCAUCACAAAUGAUAAAAUCCGUGUUCAUUAUCUCGGUCCUUCCAUCCAGAAUGAACUAAUAAAUUUGCUCGCUGCUGCAAUCAGGCUUGAAAUCGUUAAGAAGAGAUGGCAAAUUCUGAAAAAUAACAUAUCAGGAGUGACUCUCAAGUCAUUGUCAUCUACUAGGUGGGAGAGUCGUGUUGAUAGUGUUAAGGUUGUAAGGAUUCAACUACCAGAAAUAAGGGAGGCUCUACUACAAGUGGCUGAAAAUGAUAAAGAUCCAUCGACAAGUAGUGAAGCUCAAUCAUUGGCAGAAAAUAAUCUUUGUGACUUUGAAUUCUUAGUGUCAAUAAUCAUAUGGUAUGAAAUAUUAUCAGCUAUUAAUUUGAUCAGCAAAGAGUUGCAGUCAAAGGAUAUGCUUAUUGAUAUUGCUAUUGAGUCUAUAAAGGGCUUUAUUUCUGUCUUCACUAAGUAUAGAGAAUCUGGCUUUUCAAAAGCACUGGAAGCUGCAAAAGAAAUUGCAAAGGAGAUGGAUAUUAAUCCAGAGUUCCGCACCAAGCAUAAAAUCAAAAGAAAAAGGCAAUUUGGUGAGGGUGCAGAUGAUCCAUCUAUUGUUUCACAAUCAGCAGAGGAGUCAUUUAGGGUCAAUUAUUUUCUGCAUAUUGUUGAUCAAGCUAUAGUUUCACUUAACACGAGAUUUGAACAGUAUGAGGGGUAUGAAAAAAUAUUUGGUUUCUUGUUUACUUCAGAUAGGCUGCGAUCCUUGGAUGACAAGAGUUUAUUGGCUGCGUUUGAUAUUCUGAACUUUUUGAAGAAGCGUUCCUUAAUAUAUCCUAAUGCUGUUAUCGCAUACAGAAUUGUUUUAACCAUUCCUGUGACAGUUGCAUCUGCGGAAAGGAGCUUUUCUAAACUCAAGUUGUUGAAAUCCUACUUGCGUUCUACAAUGACACAAGAAAGACUGAAUGGAUUGGCAACAAUAGCACUUGAAAAUGAUGUCUUGGAGAAGAUUAAUUAUGAAGAUUUGAUCGAAGAUUUCAUAUCAAGAAAUACUAGAAGAAUGCUGCUUUUUGGUUGA